rnacentral:rRNA from 1 species
AGCUCCAAUAGCAUAUAUUAAAGUUGUUGCGGUUAAAAAGCUCGUAGUUGGAUUUCUGUCGAGGUCAGCCGGUCCACCCUCUGGGUGAGCACAUGGUUUGAUCUUGGCAUCAUCUUGGAGAAUGCCGCUGCGCUUGAUUGCGUGGGGUAGUAUCCAGGACUUUUACUUUGAGGAAAUUAGAGUGUUUCAAGCAGGCACACGCCUUGAAUAUAUUAGCAUGGAAUAAUAAGAUAAGACCUUGGCUUUAUUUUAUUGGUUUCUAAAGCUGAGGUAAUGAUUAAUAGGGAUGGGUCGGGGGC